CUUAUGGCUCCGCCCUACCCAGCAUGCUAGCUGUCACUAAAUUCCUGUGGCUGCUAUGCCUACCUCCUGGCUCUGUCAAGGCCUAUUCCUCUUAGCUGCGCUGAUCCAUGGGCUACAGGAUAAAGAAAACCUUUACCCACGUCCAUGAGGCCCCCCUACAGCAGGAGGCAAGCAGGCAUGCAAAGGGGGAGAGGAGGGGAAGAG